GACGAACGCUGGCGGCGUGCUUAACACAUGCAAGUCGAACGGAAAGGCCCUGCUUUUGUGGGGUGCUCGAGUGGGGAACGGGUGAGUAACACGUGAGUAACCUCCCCUUGACUUUGGGAUAACUUCAGGAAACUGGGGCUAAUACCGGAUAGGAGCUCCUGCUGCAUGGUGGGGGUUGGAAAGUUUCGGCGGUUGGGGAUGGACUCGCGGCUUAUCAGCUUGUUGGUGGGGUAGUGGCUUACCAAGGCUUUGACGGGUAGCCGGCCUGAGAGGGUGACCGGCCACAUUGGGACUGAGAUACGGCCCAGACUCCUACGGGAGGCAGCAGUGGGGAAUAUUGCACAAUGGGCGGAAGCCUGAUGCAGCAACGCCGCGUGCGGGAUGACGGCCUUCGGGUUGUAAACCGCUUUCGCCUGUGACGAAGCGUGAGUGACGGUAACUGGUAAAGAAGCACCGGCUAACUACGUG
rnacentral:rRNA from 1 species